ensembl:lncRNA
ACUCCAGCCUCUGCUUGAAUGUUACCUCCCAGGCCUUCCCUCACCCAAAAUAGCAGCUCCAUCACCAUUUGUCUUUUCAUUGCUCUAUUCUUUUCAGUGCAUGCCAGUUCCUGACAUGAUACUGUAUUGUUAGUUUAUUAUUGUCUUCUCCUCUAGAACAUGAGCUUCAUGGGAUCAAGAACUUUGUUUCAUUUGCUGUUAUAUCCCUGGAAUGUUGCCUGGCGUAUAGUAAACUGCAGAUCCUGGCCAGGAGGGUCUCAGCAAGUACUUGGCAACGUUAUAGAAGAAAGUGAACUAAAUAAGGAGUCAUCAGGAGGUGCCUGCAGGAGGACCCAGGUGGUAUCACCCCAGUGAUAUUCCUUCAGCCUUGUCAGUGACCUUGGACUGGCCAGAGUGGAGAAGAGAUGAAGAUGGUGCUGCCUUGAAUCCAUGGAUACCCACAGCCUGGGAGGAGGGCAGUCUCCAGGAGCUGAUCAAAGAGAGUACCCCACACUCCUGGUUCUUCAGCAGACUGUCCCGCCCCGGACCUGGGAGGACUCCCUGAGUUCAUGUUCAGUCACAGAAUUUGCUUCUGUCUCUUCACACCUCAUGCCAGACUCUAGUCUAGCAGCCAAAACAGGAUACUUUCCUAUUCCACACUGCCCUAUGCUUUGUUGAAGGUUUCUAAAAAGUAAAAUC